rnacentral:rRNA from 1 species
GUUGACCUCGGAUCAGGUAGGGAUACCCGCUGAACUUAAGCAUAUCAAUAAGCGGAGGAAAAGAAACCAACAGGGAUUGCCCUAGUAACGGCGAGUGAAGCGGCAACAGCUCAAAUUUGAAAGCUGGCCUUCGGGUCCGCAUUGUAAUUUGUAGAGGAUGCUUUGGGUGAAACGCCAGUCUAAGUUCCUUGGAACAGGACGUCAUAGAGGGUGAGAAUCCCGUAUGUGACUGGAAAUGUUAACCUAUGUAAAGCUCCUUCGACGAGUCGAGUUGUUUGGGAAUGCAGCUCUAAAUGGGAGGUAAAUUUCUUCUAAAGCUAAAUAUUGGCGAGAGACCGAUAGCGCACAAGUAGAGUGAUCGAAAGAUGAAAAGCACUUUGGAAAGAGAGUUAAAAAGCACGUGAAAUUGUUGAAAGGGAAGCGCUUGCAAUCAGACUUGUUUAAACUGUUCGGCCGGUCUUCUGACCGGUUUACUCAGUUUGGACAGGCCAGCAUCAGUUUCGGCGGCCGGAUAAAGGCUCUGGGAAUGUGGCCUUCACUUCGGUGAAGGUGUUAUAGCCCAGGGUGUAAUACGGCCAGCC